CUCCAGGAUGGUGGCUGAAGCUCAUCUCCUAUGUAAACACCUAAAUGCCAAGUCUGGACUUCAAAAACAGUUUCUGAAAGUUUAACCAGCAUUAUGGACAAAAAGUAUACACUUCGAACAGACACAAAAACAUAUAGGUCCAUGCCAAGCUAUGAAAGAUUUAUGCUGAGGAUGAAAGGGAAUUGCAGAAGAAUGAAUUGAUGUUAACAUCUCAACAUUAAAAUUGGCUUAAAUUUGAUUAUGUCUUUUGUUGUGA